GACGAACGCUGGCGGCGUGCCUAAUACAUGCAAGUAGAACGCACAGUUUAUACCGUAGCUUGCUACACCAUAGACUGUGAGUUGCGAACGGGUGAGUCACGCGUAGGUAACCUGCCUGGUAGCGGGGGAUAACUAUUGGAAACGUUAGCUAAUACCGCAUAAUAUUAAUUAUUGCAUGAUAAUUAAUUGAAAGGUGCAAUUGCACCACUACCAGAUGGACCUGCGUUGUAUUAGCUAGUAGGUGAGGUAACGGCUCACCUAGGCGACGAUACAUAGCCGACCUGAGAGGGUGAUCGGCCACACUGGAACUGAGACACGGCCCAGACUCCUACGGGAGGCAGCAGUAGGGAAUCUUCGGCAAUGGACGAAAGUCUGACCGAGCAACGCCGCGUGAGUGAAGAAGGUUUUCGGAUCGUAAAGCUCUGUUGUAAGAGAAGAACGGGUGUGAGAGUGGAAAGUUCACACUGUGACGGUAUCUUACCAGAAAGGGACGGCUAACUACGU
rnacentral:rRNA from 1 species